UACGUAGGGGGCUAGCGUUGUCCGGAUUUAUUGGGCGUAAAGAGCUCGUAGGUGGCUCGGUAAGUCGGGUGUGAAAUUUCGAGGCUCAACCUCGAGACGCCACCCGAUACUGCUGUGGCUAGAGUCCGGUAGGGGAGCGUGGAAUUCCUGGUGUAGCGGUGAAAUGCGCAGAUAUCAGGAGGAACACCAGCGGCGAAGGCGGCGCUCUGGGCCGGUACUGACACUGAGGAGCGAAAGCGUGGGGAUCAAACAGG
rnacentral:rRNA from 1 species